GAUCAUUACUGAGUUUACGCUCUACAACCCUUUGUGAACAUACCUAUAACUGUUGCUUCGGCGGGUAGGGUCUCCGUGACCCUCCCGGCCUCCCGCCCCCGGGCGGGUCGGCGCCCGCCGGAGGAUAACCAAACUCUGAUUUAACGACGUUUCUUCUGAGUGGUACAAGCAAAUAAUCAAAACUUUUAACAACGGAUCUCUUGGUUCUGGCAUCGAUGAAGAACGCAGCGAAAUGCGAUAAGUAAUGUGAAUUGCAGAAUUCAGUGAAUCAUCGAAUCUUUGAACGCACAUUGCGCCCGCCAGCAUUCUGGCGGGCAUGCCUGUUCGAGCGUCAUUUCAACCCUCAAGCUCUGCUUGGUGUUGGGGCCCUACAGCUGAUGUAGGCCCUCAAAGGUAGUGGCGGACCCUCCCGGAGCCUCCUUUGCGUAGUAACUUUACGUCUCGCACUGGGAUCCGGAGGGACUCUUGCCGUAAAACCCCCAAUUUUCCAAAGGUUGACCUCGGAUCAGGUAGGAAUACCCGCUGAACUUAAGCAUAUCAAUAAGCGGAGGAAAAGAAACCAACAGGGAUUGCCUCAGUAACGGCGAGUGAAGCGGCAACAGCUCAAAUUUGAAAUCUGGCCCUAGGCCCGAGUUGUAAUUUGCAGAGGAUGCUUUUGGUGCGGUGCCUUCCAAGUUCCCUAGAACGGGACGCCAGAGAGGGUGAGAGCCCCGUACAGUUGGACACCAAGCCUUUGUAAAGCUCCUUCGACGAGUCGAGUAGUUUGGGAAUGCUGCUCAAAAUGGGAGGUAUAUUUCUUCUAAAGCUAAAUACCGGCCAGAGACCGAUAGCGCACAAGUAGAGUGAUCGAAAGAUGAAAAGCACUUUGAAAAGAGGGKUAAACAGCACGUGAAAUUGUUAAAAGGGAAGCGCUUGUGACCAGACUUGCGUCCGGUGAAUCACCCAGCUCUCGCGGCUGGGGCACUUCGCCGGCUCAGGCCAGCAUCAGCUCGCUGUCGGGGACAAAAGCUUCAGGAACGUAGCUCUCUUCGGGGAGUGUUAUAGCCUGUUGCAUAAUACCCUUCGGCGGGCUGA
rnacentral:misc_RNA from 1 species